UAGGUGGUGUUGUGUGGAAGACUAGUGAUUUUGUUGUUCUACGUUUGGUAACAAGGAAUCACUAAUCCUCCCACAAACUCAUCUG
rnacentral:pre_miRNA from 1 species